rnacentral:rRNA from 1 species
GAUGAACGCUGGCGGCGUGCCUAAUACAUGCAAGUCGAGCGAACAGACGAGGAGCUUCCUCCUCUGACGUUAUCGGCGGACGGGUGAGUAACACGUGGAUAACCCAUCUAUAAGACUGGGAUAAAUUCGGGAAACCGGCGCUAAUACCGGAUAAUAUAUUGAACCGCAUGGUUCAAUAGUGAAAGACGGUUUUGCUAUCACUUAUAGAUGGAUCCGCGCCGCAUUAGCUAGUUGUUAAGGUAACGGCUUACCAAGGCAACGGAGCGUAGCCUACCUGAGAGGGUUACCGGCCACCCUGGAUCUUGGUCACGGUCCGCACUCCUACGGGAGCCAGCAGUAGGGCACUUUCGCAAAUGGUGGAAGGUUGGACGGAGCAACGCCGCGGGGUGAAGGAGGUUAUUCGAAUCGUAAAACUCUUUUAUUAGGGAAGAUGAAUUAUGUAGUUAACAAUGCACGUCUUGACGGUAUCUAAGCAGAAAGCCACGGCUAACUACGUG